AUUGAACGCUGGCGGCAUGCCUAACACAUGCAAGUCGAACGGUAACGCGGAGAGCUUGCUCUCUGGCGACGAGUGGCGGACGGGUGAGUAAUACUUAGGAAUCUGCCCAGUAGUGGGGGACAACAUUCGGAAACGGAUGCUAAUACCGCAUACGCUCUACGGAGGAAAGCGGGGGAUCUUCGGACCUCGCGCUAUUGGAUGAGCCUAAGUCGGAUUAGCUUGUUGGUGAGGUAAAGGCUCACCAAGGCGACGAUCCGUAGCUGGUCUGAGAGGACGAUCAGCCACACUGGGACUGAGACACGGCCCAGACUCCUACGGGAGGCAGCAGUGGGGAAUAUUGGACAAUGGGGGCAACCCUGAUCCAGCAAUGCCGCGUGUGUGAAGAAGGCCUGCGGGUUGUAAAGCACUUUCAGUAGAGAAGAAAAGCCUAGGGUUAAUACCCCUGAGUCUUGACGUUACCUACAGAAGAAGCUCCGGCUAACUCCGUG
rnacentral:rRNA from 1 species